CCUACGGGAGGCAUCAGUGGGGAAUAUUGGACAAUGGGCGAAAGCCUGAUCCAGCCAUGCCGCGUGUGUGAAGAAGGCCUUCGGGUUGUAAAGCACUUUCAGUGGGGAAGAAAGCCUUGGGGCUAAUACCCUCGAGGAAGGACAUCACCCACAGAAGAAGCACCGGCUAACUCCGUGCCAGCAGCCGCGGUAAUACGGAGGGUGCGAGCGUUAAUCGGAAUGACUGGGCGUAAAGCGCGCGUAGGCGGUCUGAUAAGCCGGUUGUGAAAGCCCCGGGCUCAACCUGGGAACGGCAUCCGGAACUGUCAGGCUAGAGUGCAGGAGAGGAAGGUAGAAUUCCCGGUGUAGCGGUGAAAUGCGUAGAGAUCGGGAGGAAUACCAGUGGCGAAGGCGGCCUUCUGGACUGACACUGACGCUGAGGUGCGAAAGCGUGGGUAGCAAACAGGAUUAGAUACCCCGGUAGUC
rnacentral:rRNA from 1 species